GGCAAGCAAGUUCUCCGGCGGAGCCCGGGCACAUGGUGAGAGGAAACGAGAGGCAAGGACUUCGCCGCUGCAGCCCCGGCCGUUUGGAUUAAAGAGAGGUUUCUUGACAUGGCAGCCUGAGCAGCCGGAGGGGAAAAAAAAGAAAGGCAGAGGCGGGGGAGGAGGAGGAGGAAUAGAAGAAGAGCACCUCACCAGAUUGGUUGUGCACACCAAUGUUUGAAGACUACUUCAUUAUGUGUGCAGAAGCCACCUUCUCUUUCUGAGGUUUUGCAUAGUUUGGCGCUGAGAUUCUUGGUUUAUUGCUCUACAACAGACCUGGGCCAAGGUAUGGAACUGGUUUCUGUUCUUAGGAGAAUGACAAGCCAGAUUCCACCUUCUUCACUUGUUUCAAAUUUGUUCAACUGCUCUUGUUGAUGAGAUGAGCCAAGUGGAGGUGAUCUGGCAGUUGUAUGAGCCCUAGAAAGGUUGUCAGAUUUCUCGGCCACUUUUGCUUGUCUUUGUAUUUUAAUGCAGCUUCACUUGAACACAUACAUGCCCAGUAUUUAAGAGCAGUAACAUAAUCUCUUGGAAAGCACUUGGAAGGUCAAGAUAUUAUGCCUAGCUUCCUUGUGUUGAAUGAAAUGAAAAGUUCAGUGAAGUACAAGUUGUAGCAAAUGAAACCUGAAAGAAAUGUAAUUUACAAGGAACAAUUCUGACAACAAUUCUU
rnacentral:lncRNA from 1 species